rnacentral:rRNA from 1 species
AGGGAUCAUUGCUGGAACUGUGUCCUCACGGGCACAACCCCAGAUACCCUUUGUGAACUUAUACCACUUUAUCGUUGCCUCGGCGCUGAGCCCGGGGGGGAGGAAACUACUACGCUCAGAGGAGAAUCUUUUUCUCCUUCUUUUCUUUUUUCCCCCCCUCCCCUCCAUCCGUGUAAAAACGGUUGCUGGAGCAGGCCCGCCGGCGGCCCAUCAAACUCUUUGUUUUUAAAACCUAUCUCUUCUGAGUAAAUAAACAAAAAAUGAAUCAAAACUUUCAACAACGGAUCUCUUGGUUCUGGCAUCGAUGAAGAACGCAGCGAAAUGCGAUAAGUAAUGUGAAUUGCAGAAUUCAGUGAAUCAUCGAAUCUUUGAACGCACAUUGCGCCCGCUGGAAUUCCAGCGGGCAUGCCUGUAGCAACCGAUUUUACACCCUCAAGCUUGGCUUGGUGUUGGGGCACUACCCGUAAAACGGUAGGCCCUGAAAUUUAGUGGCGGGCUCGCUAAGACUCUGAUAAAAUGGUAUAAGUUCACAAAGGGUAGCGGUUGCUUUUGCCGUAAAACCCCCCCUUUUUUUAUAUUCUGAAAUUUGACCUCG